rnacentral:snoRNA from 1 species
UUGCGGCCAAUUAAGUUGACUGUGCUCUUUUCCCCAGGAGGGCCCGCUGUGCAACGUCUGCGAACAGCAGCCUCCUGGGUAUAGUGUGUGCAGCCUGUUGCCUGUAUGGGUUGCCCUAAGGGACCUUGGAGACAGCC